ACUGUCAAGUCUGUCUGUGUCAUUCGAAACCGUGUAGCUGUCAAAUCAUCCAUUAGUAAGUCAAAGUCAAAACACUAACCUAACCUUUCGAAAUCUUCAAAAGAUAAUUUGGGGUUAUUUAUGAAAUAAAACAGGCACAAUGCAAAGACUUAUGUCCGUUUUGAAAAUUUUGACACCUAUAAGGAGUUUUCCAAUCAGCCAUGUACCGCUAUUGUCGAAAUUCAGCACAUUUCAACAAGUUAUUCGGCAGCCGCUGUUACAGCCAUCUCUCCCAACGAUCAAUCCAGUUUGUGGUUUCAAAGUAAAGGGUCGCUUGAGACGACGCUGUAAAUCAUGCUAUUUUGUUGUUAGAGAUGAAAGGUUGUAUGUAAUCUGUCCAAAGUCUCCCGUCAUAAACAGAUGGCAAUGAAACCUAAACCGUUGAAUACAUGGAUCUUAACACAUGCUAGCCAGAGUCCAGUGCGGCCAUGGUAACAUUUACUCUUAACCAUAAGCAAAAGAAAAGUGUUUUAAUUAUCUUGUUUUAGUUGAUAUAGUAAUUAAAUAAUUUUAGUAUUUAA